UAAAUAACACGAUACAUAACACAUAAAUAAGGUCAAAACUAUCACAGAGAUGCACACGCUCUCACACAUCAGCUCCUCUCUCUCACAGACACAUCCACACCAUUAAUAUUAAUAAAUAUGAUAAAAUACUCCUUCCACAGAUGUCUUCCCUCCUGGUCUUCAGCGUGCUGCAGCAGCUGGUGCGCUCAUUCCCUCACAACUCCUAUCAAGGGUGUUACUCACAUGUUAAAGGCUUCUCUUUACUCCUUGCUAAAGGAACAGUUUGGAACAUUUUGUGGAGAAUGUUUAUUCCCUUCUCCAGAGUGAGAUGAGAAGAUUAGAUGUCAAUGUUUUCUGUGCAUCCAGUUAGUACAGAGACACGUUGGUGUUUAGGCUAACUUAGCACAAAGACUGGAAGCGGAGGGAAACUGCUAGCCUCUGCAGGCUGCAUCACGUUUACUGAACAUGUGCAGGAAGAGGUGACUGAACAAACUACACUACACAUGACCAAUACACACAGAGAUAUAGUUAUUUAGAGUUUUUGUGAUAAUUCUGUGACAUUUUGUCUGUUCCCAUAGUCGUUUUGGGUCCCUUGUAGCCAUUUUGUAUCUCUUUGAAGUCUUAUUGUGUCUGUUUCUAGUCGUUUUGUGUUUUUCUUUGUAGUUGUUUUGUGUAUCUUUGUGGUCAUUUUUUCCCUUUCUAGCCAUUUAGUGUCUGUUUAUAGUCGUUUUGCAUCUCUUUGUAGUUGUUUUGUGUGUCUUUCUAGCCACUUUGUAGUCAUUUUGUGUCUCUUGUAGUCGUUUUGUCUCUUUGUGGUUUUGUGUCUCUUUGUAGUUGUUUUGUCUCUUUGUAGUUGUUUUGUCUCUUUGUACUAUUUGUAAUUGUUUAAUUGUGUCUUUGUCGUUGUUUUCCGUCUUUUUGUAGCCACUUUGUGUCUCUUUGUAGUCGUUUUCCAUCUUAUUGUAGUCAUUUUAUGUCUCUUUGUAGUAAUUGUGUGUAUUUGUAGUUGUUUUGUGUCUCUUUAUAGUCAUUACGCAUGUCCUUGUAGUCGUUUUGCAUCUCUGUAAUUGUUUUGUGUCUCUUUGCAGUCAUUUUGUCUCCUUGUAGUCAUUUUUGUAGCUCUUUGUAGCUGUGUUGUGUCUCUUAAUCGUCAUUUUGAAUCUCUGUAGUCAUAUUGUGUCUCUUUGUAGUUGUUUUGUGUCUCUUUGUGGUCAUUUUAUUUAUCUUUCUAGUUAUUUUGUGUUUGUGUUUCCCUCUGUGGUUGUUUCAUACUCAUUGUAAGUCUCUUUGUGUCUCUUUGCAGCUGUUUCCAAACAAAUUCUAGCAGCGACAGGAGGCAGACGUUAUGAUGGAGACAGUCGUUCUGUAGAGAGGAAUGGAGGUUAAUCUGAAGAUAAUUUCCCCUGGCUACAGGCUUCAGCACCACCUCGAUCUUGUACUUGGAGCCCGUGAGCAGCUUGAUGGUCCGGUUCUGGCCGAACCGGGUCCCGUCCACCUUGAAGAAGACGGGCCCCUCGUUGGGCUGGAUCCGCAGCGAGAUGGAGAUGUUGAUGAUCGGGGGGACGUCGUCCAUCGUUCCGGUGUCAGAGCUCGGUCCCUCUGCUGUGAGAAGACGAGGAGGAUGAUGCGGGGAUGCUGAGGAGGGACCUGGGCUUCCGCCCACGGCUUUCAAAAUAAAAGCGUCAGGCCGAAGUCAUGAAACUCACCCAGUCUUUUCUCCAUUAUUUGAAUUCUUGUAGGGGAAAAAAGAAGCAAUUUUAUUUUGCCCAAAUCCUAUUUCAAACUGAUUAUUUUCUAAAUCAAAUAGUAAAAAAAUAUGCAUUCUAUUGUAUGACAAAGAAAAGCAACCAAAAAUAUAUAUGAGAAUUCCAAUAAAAUUAAUUUAAUUAAAAAAUGAUAAAUUUAAAAAAAUAAUUUAAAUACAUGUUUGUUCUUAAAUUGUAAUAAAAUUGAAUUGUAUAUGAAAACUUUUCCAAAUGUCACAAAUAUUGGAAAAAACAGUUUGCUCUACAUAUUCUACUUAUUGAAUCAUUUACAUUUUUACAAUUGUUUUACAUUGUUUAUUUGAUAUUUGAUGUAUACUUUUGAAAAAAGAAGAAAAAAAAUCCAUUAUUUUGUUUCUUUGAGGGGAAAGAACAAGCAAUUUUACUUUGCCCAAAUCUAAUUUGAAAGUACUUCUUUUGUCAAACAAAAAGUAUUUUUUAUUCAAUGUUUAUGACAAAGAAAAGCAUCAAAAAAUAAUAUUUGAGUAGCUGGAAAAAUAGUUUGAUAUUUUUGCUUAAAAUCAUUCCAGGUCCAUUAUGGAGCUGCAGUUAUUAGUCAAUUUAUGUAUUAAGAUAUAUUUUAUGCCUUUUUGUCUUUUAUUAUAGUAAAUUCAAUAUUAUUGUAUCUUUGACUGGUUAAAAUUGGAAUGUUUUUAUUAAUUUCACCAUUUCUGAUGUUUCCUUGACCAAACCAUCAAUAAAUUAACUUCACAUUUAUUGUUUGUUGUUUUAAUACCAAGAUGUUAUUUUUAAACCAUAAUAAAUAUGGCAAAAUCAUCUAUUCCCUUUAGUUUGAUGUUAAUCCCAAAUACUGAAAAAUGUAAUUGUGAUAAGUUACUAUUAUUAAACUUGACUUUUCUUCUACUUGUGCAUCUUCCUGCUGACUUCUCUCUGUUCCACAAUUAAUGUUGUUUUUUUUUUUUUUUUUUAGAGAUUUAACAACUGAAACAAGACACAAACACAAACAAACAUUUCCUGCAUUCUGUCAGUUUGUUACAGUUUCAGUGAAACUCAGACAGGUGAAUUAAAAAAUACUCUUCAGAUAUCUUCUUAUUGUUACACUUGAGUCUGUCUGACAAUAAAAACUGCGUCACACGGUU